rnacentral:rRNA from 1 species
UCGAGCGGACAGAUGGGAGCUUGCUCCCUGAUGUUAGCGGCGGACGGGUGAGUAACACGUGGGUAACCUGCCUGUAAGACUGGGAUAACUCCGGGAAACCGGGGCUAAUACCGGAUGCUUGUUUGAACCGCAUGGUUCAAACAUAAAAGGUGGCUUCGGCUACCACUUACAGAUGGACCCGCGGCGCAUUAGCUAGUUGGUGAGGUAAUGGCUCACCAAGGCAACGAUGCGUAGCCGACCUGAGAGGGUGAUCGGCCACACUGGGACUGAGACACGGCCCAGACUCCUACGGGAGGCAGCAGUAGGGAAUCUUCCGCAAUGGACGAAAGUCUGACGGAGCAACGCCGCGUGAGUGAUGAAGGUUUUCGGAUCGUAAAGCUCUGUUGUUAGGGAAGAACAAGUGCCGUUCAAAUAGGGCGGCACCUUGACGGUACCUAACCAGAAAGCCACGGCUAACUACGUGCCAGCAGCCGCGGUAAUACGUAGGUGGCAAGCGUUGUCCGGAAUUAUUGGGCGUAAAGGGCUCGCAGGCGGUUUCUUAAGUCUGAUGUGAAAGCCCCCGGCUCAACCGGGGAGGGUCAUUGGAAACUGGGGAACUUGAGUGCAGAAGAGGAGAGUGGAAUUCCACGUGUAGCGGUGAAAUGCGUAGAGAUGUGGAGGAACACCAGUGGCGAAGGCGACUCUCUGGUCUGUAACUGACGCUGAGGAGCGAAAGCGUGGGGAGCGAACAGGAUUAGAUACCCUGGUAGUCCACGCCGUAAACGAUGAGUGCUAAGUGUUAGGGGGUUUCCGCCCCUUAGUGCUGCAGCUAACGCAUUAAGCACUCCGCCUGGGGAGUACGGUCGCAAGACUGAAACUCAAAGGAAUUGACGGGGGCCCGCACAAGCGGUGGAGCAUGUGGUUUAAUUCGAAGCAACGCGAAGAACCUUACCAGGUCUUGACAUCCUCUGACAGCCCUAGAGAUAGGGCUUCCCCUUCGGGGGCAGAGUGACAGGUGGUGCAUGGUUGUCGUCAGCUCGUGUCGUGAGAUGUUGGGUUAAGUCCCGCAACGAGCGCAACCCUUGAUCUUAGUUGCCAGCAUUCAGUUGGGCACUCUAAGGUGACUGCCGGUGACAAACCGGAGGAAGGUGGGGAUGACGUCAAAUCAUCAUGCCCCUUAUGACCUGGGCUACACACGUGCUACAAUGGACAGAACAAAGGGCAGCGAGACCGCGAGGUUAAGCCAAUCCCACAAAUCUGUUCUCAGUUCGGAUCGCAGUCUGCAACUCGACUGCGUGAAGCUGGAAUCGCUAGUAAUCGCGGAUCAGCAUGCCG